CGGUGAGUGGCGCAGUUUGGUAGCGCACUUGGUUUGGGUCCAAGGGGUCGCAGGUUCAAAUCCUGUCUCACCGA
rnacentral:tRNA from 1 species